ACUUUACCAUGCGGGCAACCGUGAUAAGGAAACCCCGAGUGCCAGCACAGGCUGGCUGUCCGCCAGUUUAAAUAACUGGUGAAGAAAGGGCCGGGCAAGACCGGUGCCAGCCGCCGCGGUAAUACCGGCGGCUCGAGUGGUGGCCGCUAUUACUGGGCUUAAAGGGUCCGUAGCUUGAUAACUGGGUCCCUUGAGAAAUCCGCCAGCUCAACUGGCGGGCGUUCAGGGGAAACUUGUUUUCUAGGGACCGGAGAGGUGAGGGUACUGCGGGGUAGGAGUGAAAUCUUGUAAUCCCGUGGACCACCUUGGCGAAGGCGUCUUACCAGAACGGGUUCGACGGUGAGGGCGAAAGCUGGGGGCACGAACCGGAUUAGA
rnacentral:rRNA from 1 species